GCCUCCAUGGCUCAGCUGGUAAUGCGGCUGCAGCACGCAGCGCCACCACGUGUGGACCGGCGAUGUUGAGGGUUCGAAUCCCUCUGGAGGCA